ensembl:snRNA U6 U6 spliceosomal RNA
GUGCUCACUUGGGCAGCACAUAUACUAAAAUUGGAACGAUACAGAGAAGAUUAGCAUGGCCCCUGCACUAGAAUGUCAUGCAAAUUCGUGAAGCAUUCCAUAUUUUU